AUGUGGUGGAGGAAACUGAAACACAGAGAGAACACAAGUAGCAUGACCAACAUCAUGCAACUCAUGGCGGCAGAGCUCAUGUAUGCCAUCACCUCCUCCCCAUUUCAGACUGGCACCGGGUUUGUCCUUGACCACGCAAUGCACCUGCCAAACUGUUCCGAGUUCCCAGGGAUACACUGUGCCACAGUACGGCUUCUGCAGGAUACAGCAAUUAUUCUAAAUGCUGCUGGAUUAACUACUACAGUAUUGCAGCCUGACAAAAUGACACAUCUGUAUUAGAUCACUGGUAGGUCAUCAGACAAAAUCUUUCCUUCUUCUCCACCCCCCGGUCCUCAUCGCAGAAAAUAGGACUUGAGGAAUAUUUCUCAACCCAGUAAGAAAUAAUAGAAACUCUCAGCAACCUGUAUAACACAUGCAGAACUCCAGAUACUGGACCUGCUCGUAGACAUUUAUAUUAUUUGGUGAAUUACAAUACAAACACGUUCCUCUUAAAAGAUGCUGGGGAGCCCAAGGCGGGGGGAUCACGAGGUCAAGAGAUCGAGACCAUCCUGGUCAACAUGGUGAAACCCCAUCUCUACUAAAAAUACAAAAAAUUAGCUGGGCAUGAUGGUGCGUGCCUGUAAUCCCAACUACUCAGGAGGCUGAGGCAGGAGAAUUGCCUGAACCUGGGAGGCAGAGGUUGUGGUGAGCCGAGAUGGUGCCAUUGCACUCCAGCCUGGGAAACAAGAGCGAAACUCCGUCCCUGCCCACCCUCCCCCCUCCAAAAAAGAUGCUGGGAAGAAGAUGUUUUAAAGCCAAAGUAUUUUUUACAUAGACUCCUCAUGAAUUUGACUUAAAAGCCAACUCAGCCACAGAAAUCUG
rnacentral:lncRNA from 1 species